CCUACGGGAGGCAGCAGUGGGGAAUAUUGGACAAUGGGCGAAAGCCUGAUCCAGCCAUGCCGCGUGUGUGAAGAAGGCCUUCGGGUUGUAAAGCACUUUCAGUGGGGAAGAAAGCCUUGGGGCUAAUACCCUCGAGGAAGGACAUCACCCACAGAAGAAGCACCGGCUAACUCCGUGCCAGCAGCCGCGGUAAUACGGAGGGUGCGAGCGUUAAUCGGAAUUACUGGGCGUAAAGCGCGCGUAGGCGGUCUGAUAAGCCGGUUGUGAAAGCCCCGGGCUCAACCUGGGAACGGCAUCCGGAACUGUCAGGCUAGAGUGCAGGAGAGGAAGGUAGAAUUCCCGGUGUAGCGGUGAAAUGCGUAGAGAUCGGGAGGAAUACCAGUGGCGAAGGCGGCCUUCUGGACUGACACUGACGCUGAGGUGCGAAAGCGUGGGUAGCAAACAGGAUUAGAUACCCCGUAGUC
rnacentral:rRNA from 1 species